rnacentral:misc_RNA from 1 species
GAAAUGUGAUAAGUAAUGUGAAUUGCAGAAUUCAGUGAAUCAUCGAAUCUUUGAACGCAACUUGCGCUCCUUGGUAUUCCUUGGAGCAUGCCUGUUUGAGUAUCAUGAAAUCUUCAAAGUAAAUCUUUUGUUAACUCAAUUGGUUUCUACUUUGGUAUUGGAGGUCUUUGCAGCUUCACACCUGCUCCUCUUUGUUCAUUAGCUGGAUCUCAGUGUUAUGCUUGGUUCCACUCGGCGUGAUAAGUUAUCUAUCGCUGAGGACACUGUAAAAGGUGGCCAAGGUAAAUGCAGAUGAACCGCUUCUAAUAGUCCAUUGACUUGGACAAUACUUUUAUGAUCUGAUCUCAAAUCAGGUAGGACUACCCGCUGAACUUAAGC